rnacentral:lncRNA from 1 species
UCUCACAGCUAAUGCCUGGCUGGUGAAGAAAGCUGUAGGACCCGGUCCAGGGAAAGAAGAACCAAGAGCUGCUCGCAGAUUAACAUGCUCUCAUCCUCUCUCUCCAAUACAUUCACUACUGCCAAUUCGAAAGAGACACAUGGAGGUUAACUCUGUGACAGAAGCAUGGCUCGUACCACCCGGAGAACCUCCAGUUUUCCAUCAACAAUGCCAGAGCGCAGAUGCUGCUAUGUUGCAAAUGAGCAGCACCAAAUUACAUGCAAGUCAUUUCAGAGGAGAAAAAAGCUGUUGGAAACAGAAAUCAUGAGGACUUACAAGUUGCCUGCUGAGGUCCCUUUGACAACAGUGUCUUUCAGGAUUCAUUUGCACCUUUCAUCAGGACAUUUUGGAGAAAAAAAUGGAAGGAAUUAA